GACGGAAGGUGCAAGCGUUAUCCGGAUUCACUGGGUUUAAAGGGUACGUAGGUGGGUUGGUAAGUCAGUGGUGAAAUCCCCGAGCUUAACUCGGGAACUGCCAUUGAUACUAUUAAUCUUGAAUACCGUGGAGGUUAGCGGAAUAUGUCAUGUAGCGGUGAAAUGCUUAGAUAUGACAUAGAACACCAAUUGCGAAGGCAGCUGGCUACACGAAUAUUGACACUGAGGCACGAAAGCGUGGGGAUCAAACAGG
rnacentral:rRNA from 1 species